GACGUCAAGUCCUCAUGGCCCUUACAGGCUGGGCUACACACGUGCUACAAUGGCGGUGACAGUGGGUUGCGAUCCUGCGAAGGUGAGCUAAUCCCAAAAAGCCGUCUCAGUUCGGAUCGCACUCUGCAACUCGGGUGCGUGAAGGUGGAAUCGCUAGUAAUCGUGGAUCAGCAUGCCGCGGUGAAUACGUUCCCGGGCCUUGUACACACCGCCCGUCACGUCAUGAAAGUCGGCAACACCCGAAGCCGGUGGCCUAAC
rnacentral:rRNA from 1 species